CGUCUUCAAUCUGUUGCGGGCAAAUAAAAUGGAUGUGGCUGUCAAAGCCGCCCGCCGUGAUGAUCCGGCCUUCGCCCGCGAUCACCUCGGUUCCGGGUCCGACGAUGAUGUCAACAUUCGGCUGGGUGUCGGGGUUCCCGGCCUUACCAAUCCCGGCGAUGCGCCCGCUUUUGAGGCCAAUGUCGGCCUUGAAAAUCCCGGUCACAUCCAAAAUCAACGCGUUGGUGAUCACCGUGUCAACGGCGCCUUGGGCGCGCGACAAUUGCGACUGUCCCAUGCCAUCGCG
rnacentral:sRNA from 1 species